rnacentral:rRNA from 1 species
AUUGAACGCUGGCGGCAGGCCUAACACAUGCAAGUCGAGCGGAUGACGGGAGCUUGCUCCUUGAUUCAGCGGCGGACGGGUGAGUAAUGCCUAGGAAUCUGCCUGGUAGUGGGGGACGACGUUUCGAAAGGAACGCUAAUACCGCAUACGUCCUACGGGAGAAAGCAGGGGACCUUCGGGCCUUGCGCUACCAGAUGAGCCUAGGUCGGAUUAGCUAGUUGGUGGGGUAAUGGCUCACCAAGGCGACGAUCCGUAACUGGUCUGAGAGGAUGAUCAGUCACAAUGGAACUGAGACACGGUCCAGACUCCUACGGGAGGCAGCAGUGGGGAAUAUUGGACAAUGGGCGAAAGCCUGAUCCAGCCAUGCCGCGUGUGUGAAGAAGGUCUUCGGAUUGUAAAGCACUUUAAGUUGGGAGGAAGGGCAGUAAGCUAAUACCUUGCUGUUUUGACGUUACCGACAGAAUAAGCACCGGCUAACUCUGUGCCAGCCGCCGCCGUAA